GUGACUCAUGAGAAAAGUACUCACGAAAAUUCAGAGAUUGAAUGGUUGAAUGAGUGUUUUUAUAUAUAGAGAUUAGUUAGAGUAAUUAUUUCUAACCAAACUUUUCAAACAUUCUAACUAACUAUAGUGUACUCUAACUAACUAUAAUGUAAUAGUCAUCCUCAAACUUAAAAUUGAAAAUUUAUCGAUUUGAGUUUGGAAUACAAUAAAAAAAAUGAAUUAACAAACAUAACAGAUAAAAUCUAAGCCAAACAAGGCUCUCAGACACACUAACCAUAGUGAUGUAACUAAGAAAAUAGAGGGUAUACUAAGUAAAACACUUAUGCAACACAAGCCCAAUCUUCAGGAGGCCCAAUGUGAAAUCCAGAUCCUUGAGUAGUCUAGGCUCAAUUGAGAACAUGUCGAGAAUGCGAGAUACGCUAUCUUCUGCUUCUCCUUCCUGAUCUCUAACAUCUUCAACUUUUCAGAAGCUUUUUUGCAAAACACACUUUUUCAAGACAGCUUAUUGAAAAUGCAAGUGAACCAUACCGGCUUGUCCAAAAUGCGCUUGUCAAAACUUGAUUUUGCAACUCAGAAAAAGAAGAUGCUAGACAAGCAAACAAGUCUCAUAUAAGAUGUGAGAUUCAGAAUAUAAGUAAAGCGCGUCCAAAAUAUGAACUAAAAUCCGUUCUUCAAAAACAUAUUUCUGCAAAGAAAGCAAAAACACGAUUAUGCUCGUUUUCUCCCUUUUCUAGCCAUACUUUCUUGAUUGCGAUUGAAUUUGAAAAAGGAAGAAGAAAGAAUAUUCUGAACUGGAAAAGUAUCACAGGAAGGUGUAUGAUGAGCACAUCGGAGAACCGUUUCUUCCCUCUGUAUCAUGGUAUCCACCAUAAUCGAUAACAAAGCUUGUGAAAACGAAGAACAGGAUUGAAAGGAAAAUUAGUGUUGAAAUCAUGAUCGAAAUCGACGAUAGAUUCGUCAUGUAACUAAAAUGUUGAAGCUUGUUAUUGAUGGUGAAUACAACUUGUUUAGUAAUAUAAUUUGCUUAGUGUGUGUGUAUAUAUAUAUAUAUAUAUUUUAUCCCAAACCUAUGAAGCACAAAGAUAU
rnacentral:lncRNA from 1 species